GCGCACUGGUGGAACCAGCAGGAUGCUGCGCUGGGCCGAGCGACCGAUUCCAAGGAGCCCCCGGGAGAGCUGUGCCCCGACGUCCUGUAUCGUACGGGCCGGACGCUGCACGGCCAGGAGACCUACACGCCGCGACUCAUCCUCAUGGAUCUGAAGGGUAGUUUGAGCUCCCUAAAAGAGGAAGGUGGACUCUACAGGGACAAACAGUUGGAUGCUGCAAUAGCAUGGCAGGGGAAACUCACCACACACAAAGAGGAACUCUAUCCCAAGAACCCUUAUCUCCAAGACUUUCUGAGUGCAGAGGACUGCGACUCGGUGAACAGAAAGGAGGCUAUGCGGUGUGGCCAGCCAACUCAAGGAGGAUGAAGCAACCUUUGCCUCUAAACUGCCUGGAACUAAAUGUCGAUUUUUCUGACCCCUCCCAGGGAGUGCUGAGUAGUGAUGGUGUUUGGAGGGUCAAAUCCAUUCCCAAUGGCAAAGGUUCCUCACCACUCACCACCGCUACAACUCCAAAACCACUUAUCCCUACAGAGGCCAGCAUCAGGGUCUGGUCAGACUUCCUCAGAGUCCAUCUCCAUCCCCGGAGCAUCUGUAUGAUUCAGAAGUACAACCACGAUGGGGAAGCAGGUCGGCUGGAGGCUUUUGGCCAAGGGGAAAGUGUCCUAAAGGAACCCAAGUACCAGGAAGAGCUGGAGGACAGGCUGCACUUCUACGUGGAGGAAUGUGACUACUUGCAGGGCUUCCAGAUCCUGUGUGACCUGCACGAUGGCUUCUCUGGGGUAGGCGCGAAGGCGGCAGAGCUGCUACAAGAUGAAUAUUCAGGGCGGGGAAUAAUAACUUGGGGCCUGCUACCUGGUCCCUACCA
rnacentral:sRNA from 1 species